rnacentral:tRNA from 1 species
AUCCGUUGUGGCCCAAUUUGGACGGGCACUCGCCUCGUAAGCGAGAGGUUGUGGGUUCGAUUCCCACCAGCGGAU